CAGGCGUUAAUCGGAAUUACUGGGCGUAAAGCGUGCGCAGGCGGUUUGCUUAGACAGGUGUGAAAUCCCCGGGCUUAACCUGGGAACUGCGCUUGUAACUGGCAAGCUUGAGUGUGGCAGAGGGGGGUGGAAUUCCACGUGUAGCAGUGAAAUGCGUAGAGAUGUGGAGGAACACCGAUGGCGAAGGCAGCCCCCUGGGCUAACACUGACGCUCAUGCACGAAAGCGUGGGGAGCAAACAGG
rnacentral:rRNA from 1 species